ACGAAAAUCUCCGAAGCGCGAUAAGAUAGGAGGCGUGAGGAAGGAAAGCAGGAGGAAAGCUGGGGUCUUUCGGGCGGCGAAGCGUUUCCUACCUUUGAAAGGUGGCGAGGGAAACGGACGGGCCGGUUUUCCUGGCUUGGCUGAGCCGGGUUAGUUAAUACCGGCCGGUGCUGUGGAGAGCACUGGCACUGGGUUCUUUUUGACUGACCGGCGUCGUUACACCUUCUGUGGCCUAAAGCCUCUCUCUCUCUUUCUCUCUCUCUCUUCCCACGGAGGUCCGGACCCUUCCCUGCCCGUCUGUCCUGGAAUUCUUCUCCGUGGCUCCCCCAUCCUCGGUCGGAAGAAAACCCUGCGGGUAUAAGCUGAAGGGAGGCGGCUCUGCUUCUUGAAAGGCUCCUAGGGCAAUUCGUUGUAAAGAGUCCCGAGGGUCUUCUUCGUCUGCCGCUGGGAGAAGAACCCUGCGGAUGCCGGAGUGAAGAAACGAUCGAAUUCAAAGCUUUGCGGGCCUUACUUUGGUAGGGUUUUGGUAGGAUCAAAGGGAAAAAAAAUGGAAUCCCUUCCCGCUGGUAUUGUCACUCCUCCUCAUCUCUCACCUUAGCUUUAGUAUUAAAAUGCAAAUUUACUCCUUUUCAGGACAGGUAAACCUGGAGAAAAAUUAGUACCAGACAGGUUUUUGAAGAGAGGAGAAGGAGAUGCUACAUCUGAUCAUAUUUCUUUCUUGAAAUUAAGCAUAUUCAUUAACCAGCUGUUGCCCUCCUGAUGUGUUGAAAGAUUACUUCUCCCCAGUGAACAUGACCAGCCAGUAAUCUCUGGUGGGUUUAGAAGUCUGGGAGAUGAUGUACUCAGAUGUUCUGAUGCACCUUUGAAUCAGUCUUGACUCCUAGUAAGGGCAUCUAUCAGAAGGAAUCUUAUAAUUUCCUGGUACAUGCAAAAAUUCUCCAAAGUAUUCUUGACAGGUAGCAAUCCAGUCUCUGUUCAAAAUGUGCCAACCAUAAACAAAUGUAUUAUUUAUAGUUUUCUGCAGGUUAUAAUCAACUUCUUGAUUGAUGUUGCUUUUGAUAGACUGUAGCCCACAAAAAAAAAUGUGGUAAUAAUUUGGAAAUCAUUAAGGUGGUUCUUUGUAGUUUUGCUGUAAAGAAGCAACCUUUUAAAACUCUUAUAGAUUAAGAAAAUUACGAGAAGUGAGGGCAUCUCAAAAACAUAUCACAAUUCAGACAGGAGGUUUUUACAGCUUUGACUUGCUUGAAUUGAACUAUGGUGUGUAAAUAUGCAUUUGUUUUUGUUUUUUUAAAAGCUAUGUUCUUACAUUUGUAGGGGUAUGGAGUUGACUUUUUAUAUAGUAUUCUUGGAUGUUAUAAGAAAGCUUUACACAAAACAUUUUAGAAAACUUUGUACUUAUAAUCAGUAGCUAAGAGUAGCUUAGCCAAGAGCUAAGCAAAUAUGUCAAGAUCUCAGAUUAUUUUUUCUCUGGUAAGAAUUGCUUGGCAAUUCUUGGCAAACUGACUGCAGUUUAUGUUUCAGUUGUUUACUAUGGAAGAUAGCAACUCUAUUUUCACUUGCCUGGAAGUUUUUAUUAAAUUUUAUUAUAUUUAAUAAUAAAUCUCUCUCUAUAUAAAUAUCUAUUAAUCUAGCUCAGUUUUCAAGAUAUGUACAUAGGUUUUCCCUGUGAAAAAUGUCUGAUGGUUCAAAUGAAGAAUUGAAAAGGAAAUUAGCAGGGCAAAUAUAUGAUAGUCUAAAAUGUUUAAAUGUCUUUAUUUAUUUUUUAUUUCCUUUUUUAAGAGAACAUGAUAAUCCAAAAAGAAUUCUGUGGUGCAGAGCAGAUAUCCGCAUCCUAUUUAAGAUACCUGCUUUAUUUGUUAGAAGAAUGGACAGGAGUGGGAUGCUUGGAAGAAUACCUGAAUUACCUGAUCAUAUGCCUCCUUAUACUACUACUUAUAGGUUUUCUACUUCCAACGGUCAUUUUCCUUUUCUUUGUUAUUACUGCUAUCAUUGUUCAUAUGUAUAAAAGAAAGACAGAUAUAAAUGAAGGUUAUUUGAAUGAUUUCUGGAAUGGUGUAAGACAAUUGUUGGCAACUGCAUGGUAUGUUCAUGCAAGAAUAUGGAAUGGUUACGAGGUGCAUGGCCUGGAAAAAUUACCAGAUGGACCAGCACUGAUUAUUCAUUAUCAUGGAGCAACUUUUUUAGACAUUUUGUACUUGUCAGUCAUUAUUUUUAUCAGGAAGAAAAAAAUCCUCCACAUAGUUGCUGAUCAUUUUAUCUUUUCAAUCCCAGGUAUGAAGUUAGUAUCUGAUGUAUUACAAAUUAUGCCUGGAUCCCAAGAAGAAUGUAGAAAAGUAUUAGAGAAUGGAGAAUUGUUGAUAAUUUCACCAGGGGGAGUACGGGAAGCACUAUUCAGUGAUGAAAAUUACACCAUUAUAUGGAGAAAUCGUAAAGGAUUUGCUCAAGUGGCCAUUGAUGCAAAAGUGCCCAUCAUUCCUACAUUCACACAGAAUAUUCGAGAAAAUAUUCGAAUAGUUGGAGGACAAAUAAAAUUAUUAAGAUCGAUAUAUGAGUAUCUUCGUUUGCCAAUAUUUCCGCUGUAUGGAAACUUUCCAGUUAAACUGCAGACAUAUUUUGGAGAUCCUAUUCCAUAUGAUCCAAACAUAACAGCAGAAGAACUAGCCAAAAAAAAAACUCUUUGACUGUCUGGUCUCUUUCUGAAAAUCUCCAGUGAUGGAACCCACAUAAUUUCUAAAUGUAAGACAUUCCAUGAAUAAUUCCAUGAACAUCUGUCUACCCUAGACGAGUUCAAAUCACCAGGAUCGGAUGGAUUACACUCCAGGGUUCUGAAGGAACUGGCAGACGAAAUCUCAGAACCACUGAACUAUAUCUUUCAAAGAUCCUGGAGCACAGGGGAACUGCCAGAGGACUGGAAAAGAGCUGAUGUAGUUCCCAUCUUCAAAAAAGGAAAAAAAAAACAGAUCCAGGAAACUACAGACCUAUCAGCCUAACCUCAAUACCAGGGAAGAUUCUGGAAAAGAUAAUCAAGCAACGAAUCACUGAACACCUAGAAGCAAAUAAAGUAAUAACCAAAAGCCAACAUGGGUUUGUCAAAAACAGAUCAUGCCAGACUAAUCUUAUUGCAUUCUUUGACAAAGUGACAAAAUUAGUGGACCAGAGGAAUGCUGCCAAUAUAAUUUACUUGGACUUCAGUAAAGCAUUUGAUAAAGUAGACCAUAACCUACUACUAGAUAAAGUAGAAAAAUGUGGGUUAGACAGCACCACCACCAGAUGAAUUCAUAACUGGCUGACCAACCGCACUCAACGUGUAGUCUUCAACGGAACUACAUCCACAUGGAGGGAAGUAUGCAGUGGAGUACCCCAAGGCUCUGUUUUAGGCCCAGUACUCUUCAACAUUUUCAUCAAUGACUUGGAUGAGGGAUAGAUGCAGAACUCAAUCAAAUUUGCAGAUGACACCAAGCUGGCAGGAAUAGCCAACACUCCAGAAGAUAGGCUCAAGAUACAGAAAGAUCUUGACAGACUUGAACAUUGGGCACUAUCUAACAAAAUGAAAUUCAACAGUGAAAAAGCAAAGAAUGCACUACGGUGUUUAAUAGACAAACAUCAGAAAAUACCAGGAAAUGUGUGGAGAGCUUUGAUGGAACGAGUUGCAACAGAGAAACAAGACAAUGAAUAACUUUGACAAAUCAUUGUGAAGAUAUUAUUUGAAUGAUAUUUUAAUGUAAUGUAUUUUUAAAUAAUUAUUAUAAUAUUUUUUAUUUGCUGUGCAAAUGUAUAAUUGUAUUAAAAAGUAGACUUUAAAAAUCAUUGUUACAUGUAUGGCUCAGGAAAGUACAAGUAGUCCUUGACUUACAACAAUUGUGCCCAAAAUUUCCAUUGCUAAGCAAGGCAGUUGUUAAGUGAAUUUUGCUCUAUUUUAUGACCUUUUUGCCAGAUUUGUUAAGUGAAUCACUGCAGUUGUUAAGUAAAUCACACAAUCGUUAAAUGAAUCCACUUUCUCCCAUUGAUUUGGCUUGUUAGAAGUUGUCUGGGAAGGUUACAAUAGUAAUCACGUGACUCCAGGACAGUGUAACUGUCAUAAAUUCAUGCAAGUAGCCAAGCAACCAAAUUUUGAUCACGUGACCAUGGUCAUAAGAGUGAAAAACUGUCAUAAGUUACUUUUUUCUGUGCUGUUGUAACUUUGGAUAGUCACUAAAUGAAUGUUGUAAGCUGUGGAUUACCUGUACCAGGGAUGGGUUACUACUUACCUUUAUUACUGGUUUGCAGCAGGCUCAUGUGCGCUUGCUUCUGUGCAUGUGCAGAAGCUUCCUGAUGAUGUCGGGGUGGGCGGAGCCUAACCCCGUUUUUACUACCUGUUUGCAAGAACCAGUCUGAACCGGUACAGGUCAGUGUACCUGUACAUCUUUUAAUAUUAGUACAACUGUUUUUUACAAACAUAAAACUAUAGUUUAAAAAUCACAAUCUUUUAUAUCCUUUAUAAGAUAUAAAAAAUAUUUUUUAGGCUUUUGGGAAAUGUAUCAAAUUUAUAAUUUAUUUCUAGUAUGUAAGAUUUAACUGUUUUGGACUAAAUUUGAUACUUUUCUUAAAAUUUGGAUUUCUUUUCUGUUGCAUGCAUUCUCCAGUGUAGUAGAGGUUGCCUUUAAUUUCUCUAUCAAAUUAAGCUGCUAUUGAUUCCUUUUUUUAUGAAAAGUAUUUAAAUUGGAUUAAAUAGGAAUGUACAUAAAAGGAGCCUUGGGUUGAUUAUAAUUUUAAAUAAUUUUAAAACUUGAAAUAACAUUUAACCUGGUGUCUGUAUUAGACACAUCAGGAAAUAUAAUAUAAUAUAAUUAUAUUAUAAUAUAACAGUAAAUAUAAGCAUCCCUGUCUUACUGUCCCCAUUCGUAUCCAUUUCCUGUAUUCAUAAUCACGUUUAUACUUAUAUCUGUUAUCUUAUACAUGCUUGAAAAAUGAAUAAAUAAAUAAAUAAAUAAAAUAAUUUUAUUAAAGUUUGUUCAGUUUAGGAGAAAAAAAUGAUUGCAAUGGAAGUUAUACCUGGACUCUGUAAUCCAUUGCUUUGGGGUAGGAUUGGGACAACUGAAUGGAGCUGAGCAUUUACUGCCCAGAUGUCCUUUCUUGAUGCCUACAUGGAGUUUGCAGCAGAUAUUUUCUCUUUGAGCCCUGAUAGAGAAACAUCUAUCGCUGUGUAGGAUUGAACUCUGAACCUUCCAAGUGGGAGGCAAGUGUCUUCACCUCUAGGCUGUUACACAGCUCUUUUUAAAGAUCUUUUUAAUGUGCUUAAUUUCUCUUAAGACAUUAAAAAGAAACUGUGCAAAGCAAAUUGGUAUUGUGACCUUUUGAUAAUUAUCAUGGCAAAUUGUACCCAGAAAAUAGUCACUACUGUAAUGAUUUGUGCAAAGUGUUAAAGAGAUAGAACAGUAAUCCAACAGAUAAAGAAGAGACCAAUGCUCAUAUUUAGGAAAACCAUUUCUGUUCAUUUAAAUUUUUAACAGUUUUUGAUUUUUUUUUAGUUCAGUUGUUGCAAAAUGCAUUGCUUUUACUUUAUUUUUAAUUUCAUUUAUUGUUUAAUUAUUUUCCUUCAUGAUGAUUAUUCAAUGUUUGGAUUAUUAAAAAGUGUUUGUAAGGCACUUCCAGGAGUGAAAUAAGAAACUGACAUAAAUAUCUUGAGAUCAUGAUUAUGGUUACUGCUGGAUAUUUUUUUUCUGAAUAAUGCUUUUAAAUCCCUUAAAUGAUAGUAACAUAUUGAAAUAUUGUUUUAUUUUUAAGAAUAUUUACAAAGAUAUUUAAUUGCAUUAUUCCAUAUUCUUUUCUUUAUUUCUAUCUCAUGUGAUGUAAAACAUCUAUUGAAUAAAACUGAAGUAACUAGAGAAUAUCUCCUAACAUAAUUAAAUUAGUAAUUAAAUUAAUUACUGUGUGCA